rnacentral:rRNA from 1 species
CCUACGGGUGGCAGCAGUGGGGAAUAUUGGGCAAUGGGCGAAAGCCUGACCCAGCAACGCCGCGUGAAGGAAGAAGGCUUUCGGGUUGUAAACUUCUUUUGACAGGGAAGAGCAGAAGACGGUACCUGUCGAAUAAGCCACGGCUAACUACGUGCCAGCAGCCGCGGUAAUACGUAGGUGGCAAGCGUUGUCCGGAUUUACUGGGUGUAAAGGGCGGGUAGCCGGGCUGACAAGUCAGAUGUGAAAUCCGGGGGCUCAACCCCCGAACUGCAUUUGAAAAUGUUGGUCUUGAGUAUCGGAGAGGCAGGCGGAAUUCCUGGUGUAGCGGUGAAAUGCGUAGAUAUUAGGAGGAACACCGAUUGCGCAGGCAGCUUGCUAAUCCGCAUCUGACGCUGAUGCACGAAAGCGUGGGUAGCGAACAGGAUUAGAUACCCGAGUAGUC